AACGAACGCUGGCGGCAUGCCUAACACAUGCAAGUCAAACGAAGGCUUCGGCCUUAGUGGCGCACGGGUGCGUAACGCGUGGGGAUCUGCCCUUUGCUUCGGAAUAACAGUUAGAAAUGACUGCUAAUACCGGAUGAUGUCGUAAGACCAAAGAUUUAUCGGCAAAGGAUGAACCCGCGUAGGAUUAGCUAGUUGGUGGGGUAAAGGCCUACCAAGGCGACGAUCCUUAGCUGGUCUGAGAGGAUGAUCAGCCACACUGGGACUGUGACACGGCCCAGACUCCUACGGGAGGCAGCAGUGGGGAAUAUUGGACAAUGGGCGAAAGCCUGAUCCAGCAAUGCCGCGUGAGUGAUGAAGGCCUUCGGGUUGUAAAGCUCUUUUACCAGGGAUGAUAAUGACAGUACCUGGAGAAUAAGCUCCGGCUAACUCCGUGCCAGCAGCCGCCGUAAAAC
rnacentral:rRNA from 1 species